rnacentral:rRNA from 2 species
AUACCAGCUGGCUGCAACUGUUUAUUAAAAACACAGCACUGUGCAAACACGAAAGUGGACGUAUACGGUGUGACGCCUGCCCGGUGCCGGAAGGUUAAUUGAUGGGGUUAUCCGUAAGGAGAAGCUCUUGAUCGAAGCCCCGGUAAACGGCGGCCGUAACUAUAACGGUCCUAAGGUAGCGAAAUUCCUUGUCGGGUAAGUUCCGACCUGCACGAAUGGCGUAAUGAUGGCCAGGCUGUCUCCACCCGAGACUCAGUGAAAUUGAACUCGCUGUGAAGAUGCAGUGUACCCGCGGCAAGACGGAAAGACCCCGUGAACCUUUACUAUAGCUUGACACUGAACAUUGAGCCUUGAUGUGUAGGAUAGGUGGGAGGCUUUGAAGCGUGGACGCCAGUCUGCGUGGAGCCAACCUUGAAAUACCACCCUUUAAUGUUUGAUGUUCUAACGUUGGCCCCUUACCGGGGUUGCGGACAGUGUCUGGUGGGUAGUUUGACUGGGGCGGUCUCCUCCCAAAGCGUAACGGAGGAGCACGAAGGUUAGCUAAUCCUGGUCGGACAUCAGGAGGUUAGUGCAAUGGCAUAAGCUAGCUUGACUGCGAGCGUGACGGCGCGAGCAGGUGCGAAAGCAGGUCAUAGUGAUCCGGUGGUUCUGAAUGGAAGGGCCAUCGCUCAACGGAUAAAAGGUACUCCGGGGAUAACAGGCUGAUACCGCCCAAGAGUUCAUAUCGACGGCGGUGUUUGGCACCUCGAUGUCGGCUCAUCACAUCCUGGGGCUGAAGUAGGUCCCAAGGGUAUGGCUGUUCGCCAUUUAAAGUGGUACGCGAGCUGGGUUUAGAACGUCGUGAGACAGUUCGGUCCCUAUCUGCCGUGGGCGCUGGAGAAUUGAGGGGGGCUGCUCCUAGUACGAGAGGACCGGAGUGGACGCAUCACUGGUGUUCGGGUUGUCAUGCCAAUGGCACUGCCCGGUAGCUAAAUGCGGAAGAGAUAAGUGCUGAAAGCAUCUAAGCACGAAACUUGCCCCGAGAUGAGUUCUCCCUGAGACUUUAAGUCUCCUGAAGGAACGUUGAAGACGACGACGUUGAUAGGCCGGGUGUGUAAGCGCAGCGAUGCGUUGAGCUAACCGGUACUAAUGAACCGUGAGGCUUAACCUU